UGAACGCUGGCGGCGUGCCUAAUACAUGCAAGUCGAGCGAACAGACGAGGAGCUUGCUCCUCUGCCGUUAGCGGCGGACGGGUGAGUAACACGUGGAUAACCUACCUAUAAGACUGGGAUAACUUCGGGAAACCGGAGCUAAUACCGGAUAAUAUAUUGAACCGCAUGGUUCAAUAGUGAAAGACGGUUUUGCUGUCACUUAUAGAUGGAUCCGCGCCGCAUUAGCUAGUUGGUAAGGUAACGGCUUACCAAGGCGACGAUGCGUAGCCGACCUGAGAGGGUGAUCGGCCACACUGGAACUAAGACACGGUCCAGACUCCUACGGGAGGCAGCAGUAGGGAAUCUUCCGCAAUGGGCGAAAGCCUGACGGAGCAACGCCGCGUGAGUGAUGAAGGUCUUCGGAUCGUAAAACUCUGUUAUUAGGGAAGAACAAAUGUGUAAGUAACUAUGCACGUCUUGACGGUACCUAAUCAGAAAGCCACGGCUAACUACGUG
rnacentral:rRNA from 1 species